rnacentral:rRNA from 1 species
GUUGACAUAUUUAUUAAAAAGAUUGGUUUUGUUUUUAAUAGGGGAAGGAUCUUAUUCUUAGAUUUAAAAUUUAUUGAUGAAUUUGUUAUAAUGAUAGUUGAUUAGUACCGUAGGGGGUUUUACUGAUUCAUUUUAAAGAAUAUUUUGUUUGUAGUACCUUUUGUAUCAGGGUUAAUUUAAAUAAUAGUUUGUAUGGAUGAUUCCCGAAUCAAGAAGAGUUACUUUACAAUUAAUUUUACCGUUGAAUAGGUAUUUAUAAUUCUAAAGUAGUAAUGAAACGUUAUUCGUUUCUUGAGAUAUCUGGUUUUUGAAGAAAGAAGUUAAAUUUUUCUUUAAUGAAGAGUUUAAACAUUUUUGUUGUUUGAACUUAUUAUUUAAAGGUUAAGCCUAUAGGGAUUAGCUUAUAGACUAAUGGCUUUGGCUGAUUAAAGAAUCUAUUGGUGUAGGAUUAGAAGUUUUUAUCAAUGAAAGUGUGUUGUAACUGUAAUAGAUAUGUUGAGAUUUAUUAUUGCUAGGGUUUUAUAUUCAAUUGAUUUUUUUAAUGUCUUAUAGGAUGUAAUAAUGAUUAAAUUAGUAUAUUGUUUGUAUGUUAAUAAGUUAUAACUGUAAGGUUAUUCUAAGGAAUUCGGCAAAAGUUUUCUUCGCCUGUUUAAUAAAAACAUGUCUUUUUGAUUUUUAUUUAAAGUCUAAUCUGCCCACUGAUUAUUUAAAUGGCUGCAGUAUUUUGACUGUACAAAGGUAGCAUAAUCAUUAGUUCUUUAAUUGGGAGCUUGUAUGAAUGAUUGGACGAGAGAAAUGCUGUCUCUGAUUAAUUUUUAUUAGAACUUAAUUUUUAAGUUAAAAAGCUUAAAUAGUUCUUAAAGACGAGAAGACCCUAUAGAGUUUUAUAUAAUUCUAAAUAAUUGUGAUUGUGGUAUUAUUACUUUGCAUUCAUUAGGCUUAUAUUUUGUUGGGGUGACAGGAAAAUUAAUAUAACUUUUCUUUUAUUUACACAUUUAUUUAUGGGUUUAUGAUCCAGGAAUUCUGAUUAUAAGAUUUAAUUACCUUAGGGAUAACAGCGUAAUUUUCUUAAAGAGACCUUAUCGAAAGGAAAGUUUGCGACCUCGAUGUUGGAUUAAAAUAGGUGUUAGGUGUAGCAGCUUAAUUACCAGGUCUGUUCGACCUUUAAUAUUUUACAUGAUCUGAGUUUAGACCGGCGUGAGCCAGGUUGGUUUCUAUCUUUAGUAGUAGUGAGUUCUUUAGUACGAAAGGACCAAUGACUCGCAAUAAUUUGCUUUUAUUAGAAUAAGCGU